UACGGAGGGUGCGAGCGUUGUCCGGAAUCACUGGGCGUAAAGGGCGCGUAGGCGGCCUGAUAAGUAGGAGGUGAAAUCCUGAGGCUUAACCUCAGGGCUGCCUUCUAAACUGUCGGGCUCGAGCACAGUAGAGGCAGGUGGAAUUCCCGGUGUAGCGGUGGAAUGCGUAGAGAUCGGGAAGAACAUCAGUGGCGAAGGCGGCCUGCUGGG
rnacentral:rRNA from 1 species